rnacentral:tRNA from 1 species
GCACUGGUGGUUCACUGUUACAAUUCUCACCUUCCAUGUGGAAGACCUGGGUUCGAUUUCUGGCCAAUGCA